CCAGGGUUCCCGUGAGGGGGAGGGGUUGCUGAGGCGCUCGGAGGUCCGAGGCCGGGUGGGGGGAGCCUUGAACGGAGGCGCGCGGGAGGCCCAGGGCAGGGGGCGCGCAGGGGAUGCCGGGCAGCAAGCGUUUCCACGGAGACGCGCCCCGCGACCACAGAACGGAAUGGCGCGGGGGCAGCAGGCCGUUGGGGGCCCGACUCCGCAAAGAAGGCGUCUUGGGACGGGGCCGCUAGCGGCCCGGAGUCCGGCCCCGCCCGCCGCUCGUAAUGUCGACCCCGGAGAUAAACGCCUCGGAGCCUCCUUCGGCUCCAACGCAUAAAGUGGGCUUCGCCAAAUACAGAUGGGAAUGCAAGCAAAGCUCCUACAACUACUUCAUCAAAACCGGUUCCGGGGAUUUAAAAGUGCUGUCUGUGGACAUGCUCAAUGACUUUUUUGCAUUUAUAUACCUUGCAUAUGUUGGUUUCUAUUCAAUAAUUUACCCACCAGCCACCUUGGAGAAAUUAUACUGGCAAGUAGUUGGACUCAUACUUUCUGUUGCCUUCUUGUCUAUACUAGAUGUUAUUUUACAAGGCCGGCAUUUUUUGGAUUGGAGGACAAAAACUGGAAUAAAGUACAAAAGUGACUCUGCAACCAGAUCGAAGUCUCUGGACACUUAAAAUCUCAUAAAAAGCACAAAUAUGUAUCAUUUUUCUUUUUACUAGGAUGAUUUUCUUUUCCACUAAAAUUCCCAUUUUGACAUUUUCAUGGCAAAGCGCUUUCCCAAAAAAUAAAGAAUGUAUAAAAGUCUUUCCCAGAGGAAUACCAAUUUUAGCCUUACCAAAUACAGUUCUCUUCUAAUACCUCACCUUGGCAUAGACAGGAAUAGUCCUGGGUUCUCUGAGGCCAAAACAGCAGAAUUCAUUUUAAGUGCUUUAUAAAUGAUUCUUGUCUACCUGCCUGCAGGCUCUACCAGAUUGAGGCAGUCUUGAAUUUGGGCCUGGUAAUACCACAUCUGUCAUCAAGACACAAGACCUGCUGUUCAGAAGUACGUAACACUAUGAUAGCUUCAGGAUAACAGAAAUUUGGUUCACAGUAAUUCACUGGAACAUUUGCCGAGUCAAAAAUUGUGACCUGUAUUAGGGGAUGGGAGGCCUAAACUCAAGGGAUCAGAUCCUUGAAGAACUGAAAUAUCAAAUAAAAAAAUUCAGCUGGAAGAAUCUUUUGGUUUCUUAUAGGACAUAUUUUGUACUCAUUUAUUAACCUUAAUUGUCAGACCUUGGAAGGGAUCUUAGAAUAUAGAACACAAACCAUUAAGAUAGAUAAACCAUUGGUUAAUUUGAUUUUUUAAAAAGACCAAAGUAUCAGAAGUAUCAGAUGAAAAGGGUGAAUUUACAAAGAAACUAUCAUUAGGAAAUUGUCCCUAAUUACAUGCCAAUAUAUCUGAAUCUAAGCAAAAUUGACAAAUAUUUACAAAAAUAUAACUUGUUCAGAUUAAUAGAAGAAAUAGAAUAUAUAACUUCAUAUGGAAUCUACAGCUAGUAUUUAAAUUUUUUUGCAUUAUUUGGGGAACAUGGUUUAUUUUUGCUGUUUUAGUUCUUCCUGGUUUAGGUAACACCAUAUUUGUGGCCCAAAAGUAAUUUGGAAGGACUCAUUCACCUAUUUUUUCAAAUAGUUUCUAUAGUAUUGGAAUUGUUCUUUAAAUGUUUGGAGUUCAUUUGUGAACCUAGCUGAUCCUGGAAAUUUUUUCUGACGAGUUUAUUGAUGGCUUGUUCAAUUUUUUUUUUUCUAAGAUGAAGUUAUACCAAGAUAAGACCAAAAUGAGUACAUGAUUUACACACAAAGGGUGAAUAAGAAAAUGAGGAGAGCAAGGAAUAGUUUACCUGUCAGAUCAAUGGUAAAGGGAGGAAUUUAAGAUGAAACAAGAGAGCAUUACAAAAUGUAAAAUGGAUAAUUUUGAAUUGUUAAAUUUAAAAGGUUUUGCAUCAAGUCAAUGCAGCCAAGAUUAGAAGGGAAGCAGAAAUGUGAGAAAAAAUUUUUAUAGCCAGUGUCUCUGAUAAAGGCCUCAUUUCUCAACUAUAUAGAGAUUUGAAUCAAAUUUAUAAGAAUAUGAAUCAUUCCCCAGUUGAUAAAUGGUCAAAGGAUAAGUACAGGCAGUUUUCUGAUUAAAAAAUCAAAGCUGUCUAUAGAUACAUUUUUUAAAAUGCUAUAAAUCAUUGAUCAGAGAAAUGCAAAUUAAUACAACCAUUUUAGAGAAAAAGAGGUAGAAGGG
ensembl:lncRNA